rnacentral:rRNA from 1 species
AGAGUUUGAUCCUGGCUCAGAUUGAACGCUGGCGGCAUGCUUUACACAUGCAAGUCGAACGGCAGCGGGGGCUUCGGCCUGCCGGCGAGUGGCGAACGGGUGAGUAAUGCAUCGGAACGUGCCCAGUCAUGGGGGAUAACUACGCGAAAGCGUAGCUAAUACCGCAUACGCCCUGAGGGGGAAAGCGGGGGAUCGCAAGACCUCGCGUGAUUGGAGCGGCCGAUGUCGGAUUAGCUGGUUGGUGGGGUAAAGGCCUACCAAGGCGACGAUCCGUAGCGGGUCUGAGAGGAUGAUCCGCCACACUGGGACCGAGACACGGCCCAGACUCCUACGGGAGGCAGCAGUGGGGAAUUUUGGACAAUGGGGGCAACCCUGAUCCAGCCAUGCCGCGUGAGUGAAGAAGGCCUUCGGGUUGUAAAGCUCUUUCAGACGGAAAGAAAUCGGGCGGGUG